rnacentral:rRNA from 1 species
AUUGAACGCUGGCGGCAUGCCUUACACAUGCGAGUCGAACGGUAACAGGUCUUCGGAUGCUGACGAGUGGCGAACGGGUGAGUAAUGCAUCGGAACGUGCCCAGUAGUGGGGGAUAGCCCGGCGAAAGCCGGAUUAAUACCGCAUACGACCUGAGGGUGAAAGGGGGGGAUCGCAAGACCUCUCGCUAUUGGAGCGGCCGAUGUCAGAUUAGCUAGUUGGUGGGGUAAAGGCCUACCAAGGCAACGAUCUGUAGUUGGUCUGAGAGGACGACCAGCCACACUGGGACUGAGACACGGCCCAGACUCCUACGGGAGGCAGCAGUGGGGAAUUUUGGACAAUGGGCGCAAGCCUGAUCCAGCAAUGCCGCGUGCAGGAAGAAGGCCUUCGGGUUGUAAACUGCUUUUGUCAGGGAAGAAAUCUUCUGGGUUAAUACCUCGGGAGGAUGACGGUACCUGAAGAAUAAGCACCGGCUAACUACGUGCCAGCAGCCGCAGUAAGAC